ACUGAAACGGGAAAAGCCCAGCGCAUACCUCGCGGUCCUUGUUUGGCCGUCGAGGGGUGUUGCGUUCCGGUGGAUCCGUCCCGCUCGAGCCGCUUACCGCCUAAGUCAUUGCUUGAAAGCAGCCCCAGGGAGGGUGAUAGGCCCGUGUGGCGGCGCCUGUAAAAAGGGUGAAGGCGGCCCGGGCGGAGGGAUCUUCACCGUAGAGUCGGGUUGCUUAGUACUGCAGCCCUAAGCAGGUGGUAAACUCCAUCUAAGGCUAAAUACAACCACGAGUCCGAUAGAGAACAAGUACCGUGAGGGAAAGCUGAAAAGGACUUUGAAGAGAGAGUUCAAAAGGACGUGAAACCGUUAGGAGCUUAAACGGGUGGAACCGCGAAGGUCGAACGAGGGGAUUCAGCUCGUGGGCCUCCGGCGAGCAGGGUGCGUUUCAUACGAAUUACCAUGAGAGGACCCGGCGUGAAUUGGAAUUGCCGUGGCCACGCCCCUGCCUCCGGAGUGCCUCUGGGCUUACUUCUCCCUCUAGUAGGUCGCCGCGACCCGUUGCCUCGGACCCCCAGGGCCGUGCUGGAUUGGUAGCCCGGAUCUCACGGUCCGGGUGAUGACCGGCUGCGGUUCCGACGGGCCCGGGCGACGGUCACUGCCAGGAGGCCGGGCCGGGGUUUACUCCGGUUUUGGCGUCUCGCGGCGUGCAAGGGAUCGGUAAUCCACCCGACCCGUCUUGAAACACGGACCAAGGAGUCCAACAUGUGCGCGAGUCUAAGGGUGAACUAAACCCGGAGGCGAAAUGAAAGUGAGCAAAUUGUGCAGGCCGAUCCCCGGUCGGGCUUUUGCUGGUGGGUAGGCGUCCGGGCGUGAGGUAGUUUCCGCCUGGGUGGCCGCCUGCCGGGGCCCGACUGAGAAGCAUUAUUGCCGGGGCGCAGGCCGAGGACUUGUCGCCUAGCGGCCCCGGGGACGGGGUUGCCGCGCUUUCGGGCGCGGCGGCUCUCACCCGGGUGUCCGCUGGCAAGUACCUAAGAGCGCACACGUUGGGACCCGAAAGAUGGUGAACUAUGCCCGGCGAGGAUGAAGCCAGAGGAAACUCUGGUGGAGGUCCGAAGCAGUUCUGACGUGCAAAUCGAUUGUCAGAGCUGGGUAUAGGGGCGAAAGACUAAUCGAACCAUCUAGUAGCUGGUUCCCUCCGAAGUUUCCCUCAGGAUAGCUGGCAUUCAGGAGGAUGAGUUUCAUCCGGUAAAGCGAAUGAUUAGAGGCCUUGGGGGUGCAAUGCCCUCAACCUAUUCUCAAACUUUAAAUGGGUGAGAUGUGGGGCUUGCUUGAUCACAUGAAGCUCUAUGAGACAGAAUCAGAGUGCCUAGUGGGCCACUUUUGGUAAGCAGAACUGGCGCUGUGGGAUGAACCAAACGCACGAGUUAAGGGGCCUAAACGAAUGCUAAUGUAGACACUAAGAAAAGGUGUUGGUUGCUAUAGACAGCAGGGCGGUGGCCAUGGAAGUUGGAAUCCGCUAAGGAGUGUGUAACAACUCACCUGCCGAAGCAACUAGCCCUUAAAAUGGUAUGGCGCUCAAGCAUUCUCCCGAUACUCGGCCGCCGGGGCAAUGUCCUGGCCCUCCUUGACGGAGGGCCUCGAGGCCCCGGCGAGUAGGAGGGUCGCAGCGGUGAGCGCAGAAGGGACCCGGCGUGAGCCGGCCUGGAGCCGCCGCUGGUGCAGAUCUUGGUGGUAGUAGCAAAUAAUCAAGAGAGAGCCUCGUUGGCUGAUGUGGAGAAGGGUUCCAUGUCAACAUCAGUUGAACAUGGGUGAGUCAGGCCUAAGCCCAAGGAUAAACUUCCUGUGUCCCAGGUGUUCCGCAGGCUGUAGAGACUGGACAGGUCCCAUGACAAAAGCAAAGCUUUAAAAGCAAGAUGAAAAACAACCCAAUGCAUGGAAGGGAUGCAGAGACGAAGGAAAUUUAAGUUA
rnacentral:rRNA from 1 species